UUAAUCUUCUGCAGAAACCCUUCUUCAACCCCACUCUCUCAUGGUUUCUGUAAAACACAGCACAGAGCAGAAAUGCUGAUCCAACAACGCUCUGUCCUGGCCCGAGCUCUAAACCACCGUCUCCGUUACUACUCCCAGUCUGCCGCCGCCGCGGUCGCCGUCCCGCCGGAUUCCCCUUCCCCAGAGCCCCCGUCUCUGACAUACCUCGACGGGUUCCCAAGACCCGACCCCAAAUACGCGGAGACUAUCCAUGCAAUCCCGCGAGCUGUCUCCGGCAAGAACAUCUCCGCCAAGGAGAGGAAAGCUGGCCGAGUUCCCAGCAUAGUCUUCGAGCAAGAGGAUGGCCAGCACGGCGGCAACAAGCGCCUCAUUUCCGUGCAGACCAAUCAGAUCAGGAAGCUCGUUACCCAUUUGGGCCGAACGUAUUUUCUUUCCAGACUCUUUGAUCUUGAGCUCCGACCCAAUUUUGAUUCCGGGGAGGAGAUCAUAGAGAAAGUUAGGGUCUUGCCUAGACAGAUUCAUCUGCAUGCAGGCACCGAUUCUCCACUUAAUGUUACCUUCAUAAGAGCUCCAUCAAGUGCUCUACUAAAGGUUGACAUUCCAGUUGUCUUCAGAGGUGAUGAUGUCUCCCCCGGGUUGAAAAAAGGGUCUUAUCUGAAUGUUAUCAAGAAAACAGUCAAGUUCCUCUGCCCAGCAGAUAUUAUUCCUCCUUACAUUGACGUGGAUCUAAGCGAGCUGGAUGUUGGGCAGAAGAUACUAAUGGGGGAUCUCAAGGUUCAUCCAGCUCUGAAGCUUGUCCAACCGGAAGACCAUCCCGUUUGCAAGAUUAUGGGAGCAAGGGUUUCCGACCAAAAGAAAUCGAAAUAAAUUCCUUCUAAUUUUGUUCAACUAUUGUGAAAAUUUUGGAAAGCCAUUAGGAAAUCCAGACUAGCCUAAGGUCUGUUUUGGAUGAUGUAAUUUGUUCCCUGGUCACAUUGAUUUGUGCUUUUAUCUCUGAUUAGUUGCUUACACUGAAGAAAGGGUUCUCCCAUUUUAUGGAGGUCAUGUGUUCAUUGCUGUGAAAUAAUAUGUACUUCUUGUAAUGGGCUAAUUGAUACCUUAGACAUGAAAGAUAAUGGCUAAAGUUGAUUUAGGAACCAAA